UUUGCUUUUAGUAUAGAAUUGGAAUGUUUGAAUAUUCACAAAUGUUAAUUAUUUCUGCAUGUUGUACUAUCAUGUAAAUUCAGUUUGCCAGUCUUAUUUUAAACUUCAAAUGAUGUGAAGAACGCUCUACCACAAAAAUAGCUUAUUUAUUUAAACCCACUGUGAAAUAUUAACGGAUAGAACGUAAUUCACCAGCCUGAUAACAAUUCAGAGGAUAGUAGCAGGGUUGUCUUAAAAUUUCAGGAAACCACCAGGGGUAGUAAUAGGAUGUGAUUUCAUUCAAAGAGGAAGGUUAGCGCUAUCUAAUCAAAGUGAUAUUUCCGAACCUAACAAAAAUCUUGAAGGAAGUGGAAAAAACUCGACAGGCGGCGUGAGUGUUGAACUGUCCCCAGAAAAUUGUACUGAUAGCAAAAAGUAUGCCUUGACUGAAAGUGAAGGUUCAAGUUAAAAGGAUAGAGGUCACAUUUGAAAGGUGUCUGACUAAACAAGUUCUCAGAUUUCUCCAAUACGAAGAAAAAGGACGGUAUGAAAAAGCAGCUCAAAAAAAUCGGUUGUCUGUAAAGUCG